rnacentral:rRNA from 1 species
AUUGAACGCUGGCGGCAGGCUUAACACAUGCAAGUCGAGCGGAGAGAGGUAGCUUGCUACUGAUCUUAGCGGCGGACGGGUGAGUAAUGCUUAGGAAUCUGCCUAUUAGUGGGGGACAACAUUUCGAAAGGAAUGCUAAUACCGCAUACGUCCUACGGGAGAAAGCAGGGGAUCUUCGGACCUUGCGCUAAUAGAUGAGCCUAAGUCGGAUUAGCUAGUUGGUGGGGUAAAGGCCUACCAAGGCGACGAUCUGUAGCGGGUCUGAGAGGAUGAUCCGCCACACUGGGACUUGGACACGGCCCAGACUCCUACGGGAGGCAGCAGUGGGGAAUAUUGGACAAUGGGCGCAAGCCUGAUCCAGCCAUGCCGCGUGUGUGAAGAAGGCCUUAUGGUUGUAAAGCACUUUAAGCGAGGAGGAGGCUACUUUAGUUAAUACCUAGAGAUAGUGGACGUUACUCGCAGAAUAAGCACCGGCUAACUCUGUGCCAGCAGCCGCAGUAACAC